rnacentral:lncRNA from 1 species
UCACAAUACAAUGGAUAUUGUUACAGAUGUCUAUCAGCUAAAAUGGUAACAGUGGCUGGUAACUAGGUAACUGUGGUAACCAAGUUAUACAUAGGUAACAGUGGCUGGUAACUAGGUAACUGUGGUAACUGUGGUAACCAAGUUAUACAUAGGUAACAGUGGCUGGUAACUAGGUAACUGUGGUAACCAAGUUAUAUAUAGGUAACAGUGGCUUGUAACCGUGGUAAAGAAAGAUAGAUAUUAUGUCAGUUGGUAACAUUUUGACUGAUGCUGUUAAGUAUUAUUUAUUAUUUCUUUCAUCCUAACUUAUUGUUCAAUUGUCUUUUUUGUUCAUAAUACCAAAAAUAGUAAUAACAAUGUAAUAAUAGUGAAAAUAGUUAUAAUAAUACUAAUUAUUAAUAAUCUGUCUCAAACUUAUGUGCACAUUGAGCAAUUAAAGUUUUGUCAAUAAAUUUUAUUCUAGGGCAAUUACUUUAGAAUGAUGCAACGGUCGUCUACCAGUCUUGUAGCAUAAAGAAAUGUAUCGGUUGCGGUGUUUUAUCAUCCGAUGAAGAAA